UCUGCCUCCCGAGUGCUGGGAUUAAAGGCAUGCGCCACCACGCCCGGCUUGUUUGUAGUCUUAAUAGGAUUGAAAUAAUAAUAGCUCCUUAGCUUGUACUGCCAACCUAAAUAGGUGCUGGGUAACUUAUGUGUCUAUCAUAAAGAUUAAGGUAUUUGAGAGGUGUUUCCCAGUUAACAAAGCAAAGUUUAGUGAUAAACUGUCUAUGAUUGGUUCCAACUUAAAAUGAACAGCAAGGCGCCCUACCCACCCAGCUACAUCUGCCUGUGAAGAUCCUGCAGUCACAGAUCACGUCUUGGUAGUAGCUGUUGUACCGACAGCCACCUUCAUCAUCCGUUGCUUCCUACUUACUUGUACGGUAGACUCGGGUAGCCCCCUAAGAAGCUCGAUGUCAUGAUUAAAGGAGUUUCCUUAUAAAAACAGACUAGCAUGUUGGAUUUCUAAAUAUUUCAGGGUUUGGGGGAAUGCAGAACACUUGUGCUUCUGCAGAAGUAGCACCCCAAGAAGGUACUAAUGGUGAAUAGGUGUUAAGCUGCAGGUUGUAUGUCCAUCUGAGUAUUAGAACACUUGCCUAGUAUCUGUGUUUCCUGAGUUUGAUUCCCGUCCAGCACCACCAAAGGAAGAUAUUUGGAGAUGGGAAGUCAGAUCUUUCUCCGUUUUGCAUUGCAAAGUAACUUUUCCUAACUAGAGUGAUUCUAAGGAUUUUGUUUGUAUUUUCGAGACCCAUAUGAUGUUCUGGCUGGCUUUGAACUCAUAGCUGAGAGUAAUCUUGAAAUCCUGGUCUUCUACCAAGUGCUGUGUUCUGACCUAAGUACCAUUUUGGACAUGUGAACAUUCCCUUUGAUGCUGUGGAAGAAUAUAUAUUUUGCUUAUGGUGGUACAUGCCUUUUAUCCCAACACUUAGGAGAUAGGGGCAGGUGGAUCUUUGUAAGUUCAAGGCCAGCCUAGUGAGUUCCAGGCUAGUCAGGACACUGUCUCAAAUUUAUAUAUUUAAAGUAUUUAUGAAAGUAUUUUUGUAAGCCUGAGUAGGCAAGAUGGCUUAGUGCAGAAGUUUUCAACCUUCCUAAUGCUGUAACCCUGUAAUACAGUUCCUCAUGUUAUUGUGGGCACAACCAUAAAGUUUUGGUUGCUAUUUUAUAACUGUAGUUUUGCUGCUAUUAAAAAUCAUAAUG
rnacentral:lncRNA from 1 species